rnacentral:rRNA from 1 species
UUGAACUUAUUAAAUUGAUGUAUGUUACUUUAAAUAAUUAAAAUUUAACUGUAGGGGAAGUUAAAUAAAAAUUAAAAUAGAAGUAAGAUGGUUCGUACCUUUGGUAUCAGGGUUUAUUUAAGUUUGCUAAUUAGAAUUACUUUUCUCGAAAAGAAAAGAUUUAAAAUUUUGAUUUAUAAAUAAAGUGUCACAAAACUUUUUUUUAUAAAAUUUUGGUUUUGAAAAGAAUGUCGGUUUUCUAUAUCUAGUUGUUUAAUAAAUUAAUUUAAUUAAUUACAUUUUUGUUCUAUAAAAAUUUUAUAAGUCUAUGGGGAUAAGCUUAUAAAUAAUUUAUAGAAGUUUUGUAUUUUAAUUUAAUAUGUAAUUAUAAAAUUAGAUUUCUUAGUAGUUUGUUAAAAAUAAUUAAAUUUAAUUUACUUUUUUAAAAUUUCUUAUUUUUCGGUUUAAGCUGCAUUAUUUAAUACUUACAUAAUGAUAAUUAUGAUAAAAUAAGUAAAUUUAAAAUUAUUAAUUUAAGAAUUCGGCAAUUAUAAUUUCUGCCUGUUUAUCAAAAACAUGUCUGAUAGAAAAAUAUUUUCAGUCUGGCCUGCUCCAUGCAAUUAUUGUAAAUAGCUGCAGUAUAUUGACUGUACAAAGGUAGCAUAAUCAUUAGUUUUUUAAUUGAAAGCUAGAAUGAAAGGCUUAACAAGAAAUUAACUUUUUAAUUUUUAAGAAAUUGAAUUUAAUGUUUGUGUAAAAAAGCAUAAAUAAUUAAAAGGGACGAUAAGACCCUUUAGAAUUUUAGAAAUUAUAUUAAAAAACUUCUUUUAUUGGGGUGAUAAAAGAUUAACUUCUUUAAUAAAUUUCAUAUGUCUAUGACUAAAAGAUCUUUAAGUUUAGAUUAAAAGAUAAAAUUACCUAAGGGAUAACAGCAUAAUUUUUUUUGAAAGAUCUUAUUAAUAAAAAAGAUUAUGACCUCGAUGUUGAAUUAAAAAUUUGGGAUGAUGUAGAAGUUUUCUUAAAUAGUCUGUUCGACUUAUAAAAUUUUACAUGAUUUGAGUUCAAACCGGCGUGAGCCAGGUUGGUUUCUAUCUUUUUUUUUUUAUUAUAGUACGAAAGGAUUUAAUAAAUUUAUUAAUAUGAUUAAAAUAGAAUAAAAUUU